GGAGAGAUGGCUCAGUGGUUAAGAGCACUGGCUGUUCUUCCAGAGGACCUGAGUUCAAUUCCCAGCACCA
rnacentral:tRNA from 1 species